GGGGAUGUAGUUCAGUGGUAAAGCUCCUACCUAGCACGCAUGAAGUCUUGGUUUAGAUUCCCAGCACCCCCA
rfam:Ictidomys tridecemlineatus contig010619, whole genome shotgun sequence.